AUCCACCUCCAUAAAUAUAUAGUGGUUGUCUGAGAGUGACUCAACCUCCUCUGCCACUUUCCAGCCUGCGACCUGUGUAAACGGGUUGGGGGUCGUUCACCCUGUGGAGCCCCUGUUCACCAACAGGAGCCCGAGUUCCACAGCCAACUAUGACAGCGCCAGCUUGCAUGCAUUCGUCCUGGGGUUCCCCCAUUCCAUGGAGUGAGCAUUGAAAUCCCCCAGGACGAGCACUUAGUGGGGAAGGAAUCGGCUUACGCAAUUGCCAACCCCGUCUAAGAAUUGCUCGAAUGCAGCCCGUCCGCUGUUGGGCGAGAUGUACAUACCCGUCACCACCAUUCCUGCCCACUCGAGCGAUUCGAACGUGAAGAAACAUAUGCGAUUAUGAAAAGAGUUGAAAGAUCUUACGAUCAAAAAAUUAGAAUACAUUCUGGUUGAAAAGAAGAAACCAAAACCAUUAAGACUAUACAAGCCGCGAAUUGAAGCAGUAUGUGACGGUAAGAAACAUAAGACUGUGUCCAGUGAGAAAGCUGAACCAGAAAAAUUGUUGCACAAGGAU